GAUGAAGAACGUAGCGAAAUGCGAUACGUAAUGUGAAUUGCAGAAUUCAGUGAAUCAUCGAGUCUUUGAACGCACAUUGCGCCCUCUGGUAUUCCGGAGGGCAUGCCUGUCCGAGCGUCAUUGCUGCCCUCAAGCACGGCUUGUGUGUUGGGCCCCGCCCCCCGAUCCCGGGAGGCGGGCCCGAAAGGCAGCGGCGGCACCGCGUCCGGUCCUCGAGCGUAUGGGGCUUUGUCACCCGCUCUGUAGGCCCGGCCGGCGCCUGCCGAUCAACCAAACUUUUUUCCAGGUUGACCUCGGAUCAGGUAGGGAUACCCGCUGAACUUAAGCAUAUCAAUAAGCGGAGGA
rnacentral:misc_RNA from 1 species